CUUUUCUGAAAGCUGCCAGCUCUGCACAAGUGCUCUGCCUGUGCUCUUCCCGUUCUAGAGCUUUCCAUCAUAGAGCCCAGAGCUGGGGUCCCCAAGCCACAUAGCUCAUGAAGACAGAGGUCACCUUGACACAGAACAUAAGCCCACCCUGUUACUGUCUGACCACUGGUAACUGCUGAUUUCAGCUUUCUUACUUUACUUGUUAUGGCUAGGAAGUUGACUAAUUUUAAAAUUACAAAGUUGACUGCCAAGUUAUAUGACUGUAUCACUUGUCUGUAUAAUGAUUGUUUGUUGAUUAGUAGAGUCAAAGUUCUGCUAUGUUGUACAAACCUGAUUGGUUCACAAGUGUCCUGUUUGAAUAAUAUUUCUGUAAUCCUAUAAAAACUCUGACCUGACAAUGAUCAGGACUGCGUCUACUCCUGAGAUAGCCCAGUGGGUCAAAAUAAUAAGCAUUUACCUUGCUACU